GAACGACGGGCGGCAGGUCGCCGUCCUGGCGCUGCCGGCGCCAGGCGCGGGCCGUCGGCUCGCCAGUUCCUUCUCGCGGCGAUCGCC
rnacentral:tRNA from 1 species